rnacentral:lncRNA from 1 species
AGGAAGGUCUCUGUCCUGGGCAGGCAGCCAUCUCUGGUGCGGCUUGAGUACUGCUCCUCUGGGCACAGAAGACAUCUCUUCGUACCUGUGGGAGACACACAUCCCUGCGUCUGCCACAGGAUCGUAAUGACACCAGCCAUGUGAAGGAAGGCUCCCUAUGCACUAAACCAGCCUUACCAGCGUUUCACACCUAUUCAUUACUGAUUGAAGGGGGCCUGCCCCUCCACACCUGUGGGUAUUUCUCGCAAGGUGGAGACAAGAGACUGAGAAAAGAAAUAAGACACAGAGACAAAGUGUAGAGAAAGAAAAGUGGGCCCAGGGGACCGGCACUCAGCAUACAGAGGACCCACACCAGCAGCAGUCUGAGUUCCCUCAGUAUUUAUUGAUCACUAUCUCUACCAUCUUGGCAAGGGGGAUGUGGCAGGACUACACGGUAAUGGUGGGGAGAGGGUCAGCAGGAAAACAUGUGAGCAAAGGACUCUGUGUCAUAAAUAAGUUUAAGGAAAGGUGCUGUGCCUGUGAUGUAACCAAGCAAGUUAUAGAGAAACGCCACACUUUGAGACUAAUUCAGGAGUCCUUUAUCAGCCGGUGACCGAGAGAUGGCUAGUGCUCAAAAUUCUCUCAGCCCCGAAGAAGGGGCUAGAUUUUCUUUUAUACUUUGGUUUAGAGGAGGGGGAACCUAGCUGUAGCAAUCUUACAGAAGUAAAGCAGGCAAAAAAAAAAGUUAAAAAGACAAAUGGUUACAGGAAAACAAACAGUUCCAGGUACAGAGGCUUUAAAUCCAUCACAAGGUGAUAGGUGCGGGGGCUCUGGGUGCUAUCUGCCAGACACAAACGCGGGGGCUUUAGGGUACUAUUACCCCAGUGAAUUCCUGGCAACUGCAGACAUAGCCUGCCACAGUACCUUAUCAGUUAAUUGCACUCUUUGAUAUGCUGAGAGUCAGCUUGCUCAAGUUAAGUCCUUGAGGAAGGGAGUGGGUAAGGAGCCCUUGAGGUCUUGCAAAUGAAGGAGCUAAAUGGAGUCCAUCCAGCUUUCUCAGCUAAGAGAGAGUAUUCAUAUUAAAACAAGGUAUGGUAUCACACCUGGAUGUGCACGUAGGCCAGAUUUAUGUUUGACUUUACCCAAACACCUCAGUGCAGUAAAGAGCAGUACUGCCACCAGCAUGUCUCACCUCCAGCCGUAAGACAGUUUUCUCCUAUCCCAGUAAAUGGAAUGUACAAUCAGGUUUUCUACCGAGACAUUCCAUUCCCAGGGAUGAGGAGCAGGAGACAGAGGCUUUCCUCUUAUCUCAAGUGCAAAGAGGCCUUCCUCUUUCACUAAUCCUCCUCAGCAUAGACCCUUUACAGGUGUCAGGCUGGGGGACGGUAAGGUCUUUCCCUUCCCACGAGGCCACAUCUCAGGCUGUCUCAGGGGGGCAAACCUUGGACAAUACCCAGGCUUUCUCAGGCAGAGGUCCCUGCGGCCUUCCGCAGUGCAUUGUGUCCCUGGGUACUCGAGACUGGAGAAUGGCGAUGACUUUUACCAAGCAUACUGCCUGCAAACACAUGUUUACCAAGGCACAUCCUGCACAGCCCUAACUCCAUUAAACCUUGAGUCAAUACAGCACGUUUCUGUGAGCACAGGGUUGGGGCUAGGGUUACAGAUUAACAACAUCUCAAGGCAGAAGAAUUUUUCUUAGUACAGAUCAAAAUGGAGUUUCUUAUGUCUUCCUUUUUCUACAUAGACACAGUAACAGUCUGAUCUCUUUCUUUCCCCCACAGAUUUAUAAUUUUGAGAUACCAGUGAUGGGAUGGGCCACAUUAGAUCCUGAGGCACAAGGAAAAAUACACGCCCCGUAUACAUGUUUGCAUGUUUUUUUAAAAUGGUUAAUUUUUUCCAAGUAGUAACAACAACUGCUCUUUUUGUUUUGUUGUUUGAGACAGGGUCUCACUCUUGACACCCAGGCUGGAAAGCAGUGGCUCGAUCACAGCUCACUGCAACCUCCACCUCCCAGGUAAAGCCAUCUUCCCCCUCAGCCUCCCAAGUAGCUGGAACUACAGGCAUGCACCACCACACCCAGCUAUUUUUUUUAUUAUUGUUUUUGUAAAGACAGGGGCCUCACCCUGUUGCCCAGGCUGGUCUUGAACUCCUGGACUCAAGCAAUCCUUCCACCUUGGCCUCUCAAAGUGCUGGGAUUACAGGUCUGAGCCACCACACUCGGCUGCACUCGGACUUUUGAACCAUAAAAACUGUGAGAUAAGAAAUGUGCUUUGUUUCAUACGCUUGUGGUAAUUUGUUAACAGCAGCUAUAGAAACUAAUGCAGGGAGCAACUGGGCAUUGCCUACACUCACAGUGGGAGUGUGAACUGGAAGCACCACCAGUGUCUGUUAAAGCCACAGGUAUGGCCUGGCAUGGUGCCUCAUGCCUAUAAUCCCUGCACUUUGGGAAGCUGAGGCAGGAGGAUUGCUUGAGCUCAGGAGUUCAAGAACAGCCUGGGAAACAUAAUGAGUCCCUGUCUCUAUAAAAAUAAUUUUUUAAAAAAUUAGCCAAGCAUGGUGGGGUGGCAUGUACGUGUAGUCCCAGCUACUCGGGAGGCUGAGGUAGGAGGAUCUCUUGAGCCCAGAUCAAGGCUGCAGUGAACCACGUUCACACCACUGCACUCCAGCCUGGGCAACAGAGUGAGACCUCUUCUCAAAUAAAAGAAAAAAAAAAGCUGCAGGUAUGUCUACCUGUGGCCCAGCAAUGCCACACCCAACAGAAAUUCACCUGUAUGUCCCCAAAAGACACAACAAUGAGACACGGCUCAUUGCAGCCGCUGAUCAGCAGGCUUCUCAAAUCCCCCAUCCCUGUUGGAGUGGAUGAAGCAGCCGUGGUGCGUCCGCACAAUGGGAUCUCACCAGUCAUUAGAACAAGAGAUCCACAACCACACAUAACCACCACUAGGAUGAAUCUCACAAACAACUGGGAGGAAAAAGCAAGACACAAAAGAACACUCACUGUGUGAUUCCACUUAUAGGACGUUUAAAAAUCAAGCAAAACCCACUGACACCAAUAGAAGUCAGGGCGGUGGAUGGGUCGCAGGGAGAAGACAAUGGCUGGGAGGGGUAUGAAAGCUUCUGGGAGGGCCAGGUUGUGCCCUGUUUCUUGAUGAGAGGACCAGGGACACGGAAUGUUUGCCAGGUGAGAAUUCAUUGGGCUGCACGCUUAUGAUCUAUGCAUUUGUCUAUAUAUUUCAAUAAAACAUUUACCUAAUAAUAAUGACCUUUAUUCAUUCUCUUUCAGCCACUGUUAAUAAUAAGUGCCGAGACCAGCUCAGUCGGGGAGACCCUAACCUAGCGGUGCUAGAGGAAUUAAAGACACACACACAGAAAUACAGGGGUGUGGAGUGGGAAAUCAGGGAUCUCACAGCCUUCAGAGCUGAGAGCCUCCAACAGAGAUUUACCCACAUAUUUAUUGACAGCAAACCAGUGAUAAGCAUUGUUUCUACAGAUUAUAGAUUAACUAUGUGUUUGGCAAAGUGUAUUCACUGGGCAGAUCCUGGAAUACUGACACACUGAAAAAUACUACAGAAAAAACUCCUGAUGGAGACUCUGAUUCAGCUUGUGUGACACUAAUAUUUUCAUUUUGGGUGGUGAGCAAAUGUCUUUCCUCACUCAGAGAAGGGCUCAGUAUCCCUAAACAGCAUAGCUGAGUUAUGACUGGCCUAAUUUAGAGCUGCACCAACUUCAUGUACCAAAUAGGGACACCGCUGGCCUCUGUGCUUCCCUCUGACUCGAAUACACCAGAACUGGGAUCAUUUCUGCACCCUGGAAACUGACCUAGAGGUCCUCCUUUGUCACAUGCACUGUCAUUCUGUCUCCCAGAGGGGCUCACGGGUUGACUAUGCCUAUGUGGACAAAGUGGAAUCAGCCCUCAGUGGUCUUCUGUCCAUAGACAACAUCAAAUUCUGUAAUUAAAUCUCCGUUGGCAUCAAACAUGAUCUCUGUCCCAUCAGGGGUCUUGAAAUGCACGUUCUUGAGAGGACGAAGCAGCUGGGGAAGGAUGGAUGACACUGUAGAUGGGCAGGGCCAGUCCCAGGGCCUGUGCAAAAUGCAUCAGGUCCUCAGCCACCGUGGUGAGCAGGGGCUGCCUCAGGCAGGGCCAACGUAUCCAUGAGGCACGGGAGACCCAGGGCUGUGAUAUUUGCAGGGUCCCAUGAAAAUGUUCUAAUGUUAACUGCUUGUAAAAGCAAAGAAAAAAAUUAAAAAGUAAUUAAUGGGCCAUGCACGGUGGCUCAAGCCUGUGGUCCCAGCACUUUGGGAGGCCGAGGCAGGCAGAUCACGAGGUCAGGAGCUCAAGACCAGCCUGACCAAUAUGGUGAAAUGCCGUCCCUACCAAAAAUACAAAAAUUAGCCAGGCGUGGUGGCUCACGCCUGUAAUCCCAGCCACUCAGGAAGCUGAGGCAGAAGAGUCACUUGAACCCGGGAGACGGAGGUUGCAGUGAGCCAAGAUCAUGCCACUACGCUCCAGCCUGGGCGACAGAGCAAGACUCUGUCUCAAAAAAAAGUAAUAAUGAACAUAUAAUAAUGAGUCCAACCCAGGAUAUAUUCAUCUUUAGACCAAGGCAAUGGUAAAAUUGAAUUAAGAAUUUUUUUUUCCACGGAGGAAGGAACGCACAAAAGCCACAGUGUGGCCCCUGCUCCAGGGAUUCCGUCUGAGCAAACACUUCCUCCUUGGCCUUCCCAUCACACUCCAAGUGGAGUAAAAUCCUGGCGGGACCUACACAGGGACUCCCGGGUGGGGAUGCAGAGUUGGAAUUCAAUGCAGACCCCAGCCUGGCCCAGCUCCUGGACGACCAGAGACCUGCCCUGCAGCUCAAAGUCGUCCCCCUGCGCCAGGACGCUCACCCAAGACCAUCGGAAGUGAAGCAUCAGCUGCACCACUGCAUGGGUGGUCGUGAGGCCUGGGGAUCCGAUUCUAGUUCCGGUUUGCACAGCGCCGACAACUCUGGGGCUACAGGCUGGAGCCACCGUGCGGGGCCUGGGAUUCGGACUCUAGUUCCGGUUUCCACAGCGUGGACAACUCUGGGGUUACAGGCUGGAGCCACCAUGCCGGGCCUGGGGUUCGGAUUCUAGUUACGGUUCACACAGCGCGGACGGACAGUUCUUCACUGGCAGUGGCAAUGACUCGGAACCUACUUGUGUUGUUUGGCCACGCUGUGAUCUUUGUCAGUUUUUGCCUGCUUGUCGAUUUGCCAAUGAAGAGACUACUCUUCGUGCCCCGGAAGAUAAAGUUCUAUGAAAUCGGGGUCAACGAGGUUUUGUGUCUGUGUUUGCUUCUGACCUGUGGCUGAGGCACAGGAUGAAACUGCUCGGUCUCUGGGGUCUGUUGG